rnacentral:rRNA from 1 species
UACGUAGGGUGCAAGCGUUAAUCGGAAUUACUGGGCGUAAAGCGUGCGCAGGCGGUGAUGUAAGACAGAGGUGAAAUCCCCGGGCUCAACCUGGGAACUGCCUUUGUGACUGCAUAGCUAGAGUACGGUAGAGGGGGAUGGAAUUCCGCGUGUAGCAGUGAAAUGCGUAGAUAUGCGGAGGAACACCGAUGGCGAAGGCAAUCCCCUGGACCUGUACUGACGCUCAUGCACGAAAGCGUGGGGAGCAAACAGG